AAGCCUGAUCCAGCCAUGCCGCGUGUGUGAAGAAGGUCUUCGGAUUGUAAAGCACUUUAAGUUGGGAGGAAGGGCAGUAAAUUAAUACUUUGCUGUUUUGACGUUACCGACAGAAUAAGCACCGGCUAACUCCGUGCCAGCAGCCGCGGUAAUACGAAGGGUGCAAGCGUUAAUCGGAAUUACUGGGCGUAAAGCGCGCGUAGGUGGUUCGUUAAGUUGGAUGUGAAAUCCCCGGGCUCAACCUGGGAACUGCAUUCAAAACUGRCGAGCUAGAGUAUGGUAGAGGGUGGUGGAAUUUCCUGUGUAGCGGUGAAAUGCGUAGAUAUAGGAAGGAACACCAGUGGCGAAGGCGACCACCUG
rnacentral:rRNA from 1 species